rnacentral:rRNA from 1 species
UAAUACCGGCGGCUCGAGUGGUGGCCACUAUUACUGGGCUUAAAGCGUCCGUAGCUGGAUUGUUAAGUCUCUUGGGAAAUCUACCGGCUUAACCGAUAGGCGUUCAAGGGAUACUGGCAAUCUAGGGACCGGAAGAGGUGAGAGGUACUCCAGGGGUAGGAGUGAAAUCCUGUAAUCCUUGGGGGACCACCUGUGGCGAAGGCGUCUCACCAGAACGGCUCCGACAGUGAGGGACGAAAGCUGGGGGAGCAAACCGGAUUAGAUACCCGGGUAGUCCCAGCUGUAAACGAUGUGCGUUAGGUGUAUCGGUGACCACGAGUCACCGAGGUGCCGAAGAGAAAUCGUGAAACGUACCGCCUGGGAAGUACGGUCGCAAGGCUGAAACUCAAAUGAAUUGACGG